rnacentral:rRNA from 1 species
GUCGAGAAUCUUUCACAAUGGGGGCAACCCUGAUGGAGCGACGCCGCGUGGAGGAUAAGGUCUUCGGAUUGUAAACUCCUGUCAUGCGUGAACAAGGUUGCUUGGUUAAUACCUGGGCAAAUUGAUGGUAACGCAAGAGGAAGAGACGGCUAACUCUGUGCCAGCAGCCGCGGUAAUACAGAGGUCUCAAGCGUUGUUCGGAAUCACUGGGCGUAAAGGGUGCGUAGGUGGCGUGGUAAGUCAGAUGUGAAAGCCCGGGGCUCAACCUCGGAACUGCAUCCGAUACUGCCAUGCUAGAGUACUGGAGAGGUGACUAGAAUUCUAGGUGUAGCAGUGAAAUGCGUAGAUAUCGAGAGGAAUACCAAAGGCGUAGGCAGGUCACUGGACAGUUACUGACACUGAGGCACGAAGGCCAGGGGAGCGAACGGGAUUAGAAACCCGUGUAGUCC